CAGCAGCCGCGGUAAUACGGAGGGUGCAAGCGUUAAUCGGAAUUACUGGGCGUAAAGCGCACGCAGGCGGUUUGUUAAGUCAGAUGUGAAAUCCCCGAGCUUAACUUGGGAACUGCAUUUGAAACUGGCAAGCUAGAGUCUUGUAGAGGGGGGUAGAAUUCCAGGUGUAGCGGUGAAAUGCGUAGAGAUCUGGAGGAAUACCGGUGGCGAAGGCGGCCCCCUGGACAAAGACUGACGCUCAGGUGCGAAAGCGUGGGGAGCAAACAGGAUUAGAUACCCGUGUAGUCCCUGUCUCUUAUAC
rnacentral:rRNA from 1 species